AUUAUGCCAUUAUCAAGACUGUCUAAUGUGGAGGUGGAAGGCUCAUUUGACCGAUUCGGCCCAUUAGUGUUAGUGUACAUUCCUUUUUCCUUCUGUUUCUUUCUCCUUCUAUGUUUCUUCCUUCUAUUUUUAUUUUCCUCUCUUUUAUUUGUUCUUUCUAUUUCUCCGGUGUAUAUUUAUUCAUUUCAUUCAUUUUUCAUCUUUCUUUUGUUCUUUCUCAUACUUGUAUAGAUAUUCAUUAUUUAUAUUCUAAUUCAUCUUUUUUCAUAAUUCAUGUCGUCCAUAUUUAUUUUUGAUAGUCAGAUUUAUAUUUAUUUUUCUCUUUCUCUUUCUAUUUCCC
rnacentral:lncRNA from 1 species